GCCCCUGCGCGCCGCCCGCGCCCCCGCCGGGAGCUCCGGCCGCUCUCCGGCCGCCCGGGGCGCGGGCACCGCGGACCCGCUUUGUCUGCUCCGCAACGUGGAGCUCGGGCCCCGCCGGGGCUGCAGGAGCUCCCCGGGGCGCGGGGGCGCGGGGGCGCGGGGGCGCAGUCCGACCCUCGAUGCGCUCCCCGGAGACUUCGAAAAUGCACGUAUGGAAGGAUGAUGGAGACGGCGAGGGAAGCCUGCUUCCCGGCCUGGGGCACAGCCUUCCCUGGGCUGCCCGCGCCCGACGGGCCUGCGCCCUCCGCACCGCGCCUUGGACCGUGCGCCCCUGCUCUUUCACCAACUCCGUGUGUCGCUCAGCUUGCGUCUGGGCCCAGCUUAAAUGAAUGCGGUUGAUAGACUUGCUCCCGGAGGCUGGAGGGCAUUUAAGGAGGGCUUCCACAGCACCCAGGAAUCAUUGAAAACGUGCAUUUCCUGGCCCUGACCCCUGGAAAGACCUAGAAACUUGGAUGGAUCCAGUGGCAAGGAGCACCACCAGUGUUCAAGCUGUGUUCUCUCCUGGAAGAAAGGGCUGACUUCAGAUCUGGGGAAAACCUGUGCAAGAUAAGCCUGAAGCAUCUAUCUCGCUGUGCUGGAAAGCGAGGAAGCGGCCAGUGGCUGCUGAGCCAUGGCAGGACCCAGGAGUGCACCGAAAAAUGCCUCCACAGGCCAAAGAUGGUGCAAGGUAAGCAUCAUUCAGAGCAAAACUACAACAAUGGAGACACAUCAGAGGGUUAAAAAAAAUCCAUGAGUUUAUAAUGUUAAUCAAAUAAAAAAAAAUUUCCUGGUCAUCUUAGGCUGAUGAUGGGAAGUUGAGUCAUGAUUCUGAAAAUUGGUAAGUAAAGGGAAAGAGUCAAGCACAUAACCAGCCUUUCUUACCAAAUUAUACUUCAAAGUAACAGAAGAGUUGAGGAAAUGUCUUGCUCCGCAGAUGUACUCCAGAUAAUAAAUGAGGGCGGAAUGGUGGGAUUACAUCACCAUUUUGCAAACCUCAUCCGUGCUAACUAACAUGAGGGAUUCCUACCAAAUCACCAGCCUCUGGACUUGGCAGCCAGUCCCAGGAAAUCCAGCACGUACUACUUGGACAAGUUAAAUGGUGCCAUGCGGAUGCAAUCAGACCUGACUCUCCUGUUCUCAGAACCCCAAAAGGGCUCGUUUCACUUUUUGUAAAGGCCUGUCCUUACCGUAUUCUGGAAGGCUGUCCAGCCUGGCAGUGAGAGUGCCCUGCCACUGCUCUGACGCCCCGUCCUGGGGCUCGGGCUCACUCCACCCCGUCACUCGGGCCGCUCGCAGCUCCUCCCCACACAGCGCACGGGCUCAUGGACUGUCUGCCCUGGGACAGGGCAAUACUGGAUCCCCACUAUUUGCCAGUGUUUUCUUUGUGACUGGAACUAUCUCCGGAGAAGAAUUCUUCUACCUCCUGACCUGGAGCGUAGACUUUCCCCUCCAGGGUCCCAGCACCCAGGGUGGGGAAGAGGCCUAGGAGGAGCUCUCACCAUGCAGGAUGUGGAUGUCCACACAUUCUCCCUGUUUUCAGUAUAGG